GACGAACGCUGGCGGCGUGCUUAACACAUGCAAGUCGAACGAUGAAGAAAAGAAUCGCAGCUUCGGCAGAAAUUCAUUUCGGAUUAGUGGCAGACGGGUGAGUAACGCGUGAGCAACCUACCUCUUACAAAGGGAUAGCCUCGGGAAACCGGGAUUAAUACCAUAUCACAUUGUGACGAAGCAUUUCGAUGCAAUCAAAGCUACGGCGGUAAGAGAUGGGCUCGCGUCCCAUUAACCGGAUGGUGAGGUAACGGCUCACCAUAGUGACGAUGGGUAACCGGCCUGAGAGGGUGAACGGUCACACUGGAACUGAGACACGGUCCAGACUCCUACGGGAGGCAGCAGUGGGGAAUAUUGCACAAUGGAGGGAACUCUGAUGCAGCGACGCCGCGUGAGUGAUGAAGGAAUUCGUUUCGUAAAACUCUGUUCUAUGGGAAGAAAAGGACUGUACCAAAGGAGAAAGCUCCGGCUAAAUACGUG
rnacentral:rRNA from 1 species